rnacentral:rRNA from 2 species
UGCAGAAUCCCGUGAACCAUCGAGUCUUUGAACGCAAGUUGCGCCCGAAGCCAUUAGGUUGAGGGCACGUCUGCCUGGGUGUCACGU